rnacentral:lncRNA from 10 species
CUAGAUUCCAGCAAUCAAGGAAGGAAUCACCAUACUUGCAGAUGUAAUUGACGUUGGUCACUGAGGGAGGUAGAACAGGCAUUACAUAAUGAGGGCAAAAAAGAAAUUUGGUCCCCCAAGUGAUCCAGUGACACAUCUCUCAGUAUGCUCCAGUCCAAAUUUGACAAGAAAUAGGUUUCCUCAAGAAGAGCGCCAGCCACAGUUCUGGAGUAUCUGUUCCUAGACGGAGGUGAAUGCACUAGAUGAAGUGCAUGAACCUGAACAACUUGAGGGAAGGACAGUA